GGCGAACGCUGGCGGCGUGCUUAACACAUGCCAGUCGAACGGAAAGGCCCUGCUUUUGUGGGGUGCUCGAGUGGCGAACGGGUGAGUAACACGUGAGUAACCUGCCCUUGACUUUGGGAUAACUUCAGGAAACUGGGGCUGAUACCGGAUAGGAGCUCCUGCUGCAUGGUGGGGGUUGGAAAGUUUCGGCGGUUGGGGAUGGACUCGCGGCUUAUCAGCUUGUUGGUGGGGUAGUGGCUUACCAAGGCUUUGACGGGUAGCCGGCCUGAGAGGGUGACCGGCCACAUUGGGACUGAGAUACGGCCCAGACUCCUACGGGAGGCAGCAGUGGGGAAUAUUGCACAAUGGGCGGAAGCCUGAUGCAGCAACGCCGCGUGCGGGAUGACGGCCUUCGGGUUGUAAACCGCUUUCGCCUGUGACGAAGCGUGAGUGACGGUAAUGGGUAAAGAAGCACCGGCUAACUACGUG
rnacentral:rRNA from 1 species